CUACGGGGUGCAGCAGUGAGGAAUAUUGCACAAUGGAGGAAACUCUGAUGCAGCAACGCCGCGUGGAGGAUGACGCAUUUCGGUGUGUAAACUCCUUUUAUAUGUCAAGAAAAUGACGGUAGCAUAUGAAUAAGCACCGGCUAACUCCGUGCCAGCAGCCGCGGUAAUACGGAGGGUGCAAGCGUUACUCGGAAUCACUGGGCGUAAAGGACGCGUAGGCGGGAUAUCAAGUCAGGUGUGAAAUCCUACAGCUUAACUGUAGAACUGCACUUGAAACUGGUAACCUAGAGUAUGGGAGGGGGAGAUGGAAUUAGUGGUGUAGGGGUAAAAUCCGUAGAUAUCACUAGGAAUACCUAAAGCGAAGGCGAUCUCCUGGAACAUAACUGACGCUAAGGCGUGAAAGCGUGGGGAGCAAACAGGAUUAGAUACCCGCGUAGUC
rnacentral:rRNA from 1 species